GGAUAACCUGCCCUUAGGUCUGGCAUAACCCCGGGAAACUGGGGAUAAUUCCGGAUAGAUCAUAGAUGCUGGAAUGCGCUGUGAUCCAAAGCUAUUGUGCCUAAGGAUGGGUCUGCGGUCUAUCAGGUUGUAGUGGGUGUAAUGUACCUACUAGCCUACGACGGAUACGGGUUGUGGGAGCAAGAGCCCGGAGAUGGAUUCUGAGACAUGAAUCCAGGCCCUACGGGGCGCAGCAGGCGCGAAAACUUUACAAUGCGGGGAACCGCGAUAAGGGGACACCGAGUGCCAGCAUCCUAUGUUGGCUGUCCAUAUGUCUAAAUCACAUGUGUUAGCAAGGGCCGGGCAAGACCGGUGCCAGCCGCCGCGGUAACACCGGCGGCCCGAGUGGUGGCCACUAUUAUUGGGUCUAAAGGGUCCGUAGCCGGUUUGGUCAGUCUUCCGGGAAAUCUGACGGCUUAACCGUUAGGCUUUCGGGGGAUACUACCAGGCUUGGGACCGGGAGAGGUAAGAGGUACUACGGGGGUAGGAGUGAAAUCUUGUAAUCCCUGUGGGACCACCAGUGGCGAAGGCGUCUUACCAGAACGGGUCCGACGGUGAGGGACGAAAGCUGGGGGCACGAACCGGAUUAGAUACCCGGGUAGUCCCAGCUGUAAACUAUGCUCGCUAGGUGUCAGGGACGGUGCGACCGUUUCUGGUGCCGCAGGGAAGCCGUGAAGCGAGCCACCUGGGAAGUACGGUCGCAAGGCUGAAACUUAA
rnacentral:rRNA from 1 species